AGUCCUUUUUUAUCUUAGUUUUUGGUCAAAAGUGUAAGCUUUUCCAUCUCACACCUUUCUCUCUUUCUCUCCAUCCCUCCAUCUCUUAAAUUGCAUCGAGAUCUGGGGACUUGGGAUGUCCGCGGCCUUGAGUUGGCAUUUGGGUUCAGCGAUGAGGCUUGGGAGGUCGAUGAUACAUCCACACCUCUCUCUCUUAGCUAUAUGGAUGUGAAUAGUGGGAUUGUAAUAUUGGGUUGUGUUUUGGUGUGGAAGGAAGUUGGGGGUUUGGUUUUCUUUUGUGGAGAUACUUGGUGGGGAAUAUGGGUGUUGGAUUUUUUGUGGUUGUGGAGAUGACAGUGUGAAGCUAGGGUUGGGGGUAUUUUGGUUGGAGCGCAAGAAGAUCUUCUGGGUCUGUAAAAUAGGGAGCUGGGUUUGUGGGGUUUUGGGUUGAGAUGGUAGCUUUGAGGGAGUGAGGAAGGCGAACAAGUUGCAGAGAGAGGAUGAGGAGAGCAAGUUGCAGAGAGAGAACAACUCUAGAAAAUCCACGAGGAACGACACUUGGGAGGCUCGAACUCGCGAUGACGAGGAUAGAGCAUGUAAUUAUUUGAAACAAAUAAGAGCAACAUGGGCAAUUUGAAAAUUUCAUUAAAUUCCUCAGCAUGCUUCUCUGUGCAUCAGAUUUUAGAAGCAGGUUGCAAGCUGCUUCGUGUUUUCGGCUGUGGAUGACAGCAGAUUUUAAAAUAAGCGGCUUGGAUUGGUUUUACCAAACGCUCAAAUCUCCAAAACUUCUUUUCAAAGCUGCUUAUUUUUUAAGCACAGUAACCCCAAACCAAGUCUUAGUGUUCAUUUGGCAUUGCUUAUUUUGGGUGAUAAGUGAUUUUAAAAAAAAUUUGGGAAGUCUAUCUCGUUUGGUAAACUACGAGAAAAUAAUUUAUUGUUAAAAAUUGCUGUGAAAGAAAGCUAUAAGGGAAAAUAGCUAAUGAGGUGUUUUCAUUUUCUGAUUAUGCAUGAAUCAGUUUCGAAGAGGCGUCGGGUUUAAUGAUUAUACAACAAUUAUUUUCUGAUUAUACUAGAAUUAGUACUAACAACACUUUUAACAAAAAGUUUACCAAACGCCAGAAUGUUUUCUCGCACAGCUGAUUUUUUUCACAGUAAAUCUGACAGCGAUUAUUUUUACAACACAGCAAUGUCAAACUAGUCCUUAGUGUUGGAUGUUUAGUUGCACCACAACACAAUCUGUUAUUAAUAGCACUUCAGCAUAGCGUUUUUACAGAAGUGCUAUAAAAGAUAGGGACUUGACCCCAAAAAAAAAAAA
rnacentral:lncRNA from 1 species